rnacentral:lncRNA from 1 species
AGCCGUGAGCUAAGAGGGCCUGCAGCCCUCCGUUGAACCCAGAACGCGUCACCACUGGACGAAGCGAUUGGGCCAUGUUUUUGUAAAAAGAAUUAGGCUCAGGAAAGUUCCUGGGCCCACUAUCUGCACAGAUGUAGGCCUGGAAACAUGUAACCUCCUGUAGGCUUGAAGUUUAUUGCCCUGUGUGAUGGGCUGAUACAAGUGUGGAGCCUUUAGGCUUCAAGCCCGAACUAAUCUUGGCCUACGUGACAUCAGCUCGUUAGGCUGUGGUCCUCCCCUGCACCACACCACACUUGAUCAGCACCCCUGCAUGGGCUCUUGCUGACUUAGGCCUACAACUCCAUUUAUUUUUGGUGUGUUAGGGAUUGGCAUGCUUCUUGCCCCUUACCCAUGACUAUUCCAACCCAUAUUUUUAGGCUUGGAUCCCAUUACCUUUCAGAUUUUUUUUUAUUUUUUUAUUUUUAUUUUUUAACUUUGGUCCAAUGCCUUGGGCCACCAAUUAUAUUGCCUUUUUUUAGGCCUUAUGGGUUUUAGAUUUUUUUGCCCAACUUUUAAUUUUGGCCCGAAGUCCAAAUAUUUAAAUUAUAAAUUCUAUACAUAUUUGCAUAUUUUCUCGUUGCAUAUUUUUUAUAUAUUGUGUUUGUUUGCAGGUAUUAUGAACUUGAAGUUUAGGAAAAGUGCCAUAGAAACCUAAAGUUUCUUAAUGCUCAACACUCAUGUUGAGACGCGAAGUUUUCCAUGCUUAAAUCUGUUUAAACCAACCCAUGUCUUAAAACCUGAAUGUUCUAACUUUGACGUUUAUGGAAAUUUUAUAAAACACCAAUCACAUUCUUGUUUCCGCCAUUCAGCAAUUGUAACAAGUUCAAUUUCACUGAUUUGGAAGUUUCGAACAAGAAACUACUUUAUGUGGAUACAACAAGUGACACGCCACUUGACUAUGGCUAGUUACGAAAUCGUUGUAACUAGUUAUGGUAUGGAAGAGCUGAAUAAGCAUCCGCCAUAAUCUUCAUUCGAAAACUUAUGCCUGAAGCAUAUCAAAUGGAAUUAUGUCGAGGACUCCAUGGCUCUUUGACUCGUUAUGGACCAUGCAAUGAUGAAUUCUUGCCUAAACCAAAACAUGAUUGAAACCUUUACGUCCAUAAAUAGGUACAAUUCUGAAGUUUAUAUCCGAUCAAAUUUUGACAGGAAGAAAAUCUUCCUCGUCCUUAUAUAUCUAAAUUGCUCCUGAAGUAGCAGUAUAGAGAGCAGAAGCCACCGAAUUCUCAGAUCUGAUUACUACCACACUUGUGAGAGAAAGGUACCCCAACAAUUCGGUUGGGAGGUACUGAACGGUAUAGACCCAGUUUCGACUGGAGUCAACCGAAUAGUGGUGUCUUGCUUCGAUAGAGAUGCACCGAAUAGGCAUGCUCUGCUUCAGCAAAGGUGCACCGAACGGUAAUGCCCUGCUUCGGCAGAGGCCUACCGAACAGACCCCUCCAGCUUCAGCUAGAGCCUAUCGAACCCAAGUUUGGGUCAGUCAGUCAGUCUCUUUCUCUUUCUUUCUCUCUCUUUCUCUCUCAUACGAUAAAAUUUUGAGUUUGUUUUACAACAUAUGGUAGAAUCAAGCUUGCCAAGAGGUGGUAUCACGCAUGAAGCAUGAUCCUUGGCACAUAAAACUUCAAGAAUAAAGGAUAGUAUUCCCGAACCUCUACCUUGCAGAAUCUAACUCUAUUUUAACGAAAUAGAUCAUUUGUUAUGCACUUGUAUAUGCCUCUACCAAUGUUGUUGAGGAGUACCAUUCCCGUAGUCAAUCUGUGAGACUAAUUUUGCUCCAUCUAACACAUUUGGAAGAGCAAAAUUUGACAUGGCAGGCCUAUUGGCCUAAUCCACUUAUCUUUUUGGUUUACUUUGUGAAUUUAUUUAUUUUAUUCUUGGAUUUAAAAUUGGUGUUUGGACGUCACUAUUGUUCUCGAAUAAGAGUUAAUUAGUGAAAAUUACCACAUGUGACUAUAAUUAACUCAUGCUUAGGUAUGUUUUGUGGGGAAGUUAGCAGUUUGGUUCUAUGCUAACUUCAUACCUAACCCUUGACAACAUUUCAUGCUUAUCCAACCUAAUUGUGGGUAUGGCACUGCCCUAUAUUGUCCAAUGGUACUAAUUUUACCAUAAAGGGAAGCCUUAUACUCACUCAUUCUGGAAGAACACCCUUUGGAGUUUUAAGGAUAUUCGAGAGCACUAUUACCAUAUUAAAACCAAUGUAGAAAAUGGAGUAAAAUUCUUUAGCAUAUUACCAUAUUGCACUUCCUACGAAUAUAGCCAAAUGCAUAUUCUAGAGAAGAUGGAAUGCUUAACAAGUGGAUUACACCCAUUUAGGUCCACUAAGUGGUUGUCUAGAAGCCUGCGAUUCCAAAGGAAUUUUCUCUAUGGAUGAACAUUUGGGAUAUCUAGAAUGAUCCGUGAUGUGCCAUUUUGGGCAUCCUUUUACCAAAAGUAAAGACAUCAAACCUGGACUCGUAUUAUACAUUAGUACCCUCAAUCUUUUCUACAAAGGAUUCAAAGGGGACAUUUGUGGACGGACUCAACCAUUUAUAUACUUUAUGUCACAAGUGUGGUUGUUGUCCACAAGCUGUAUUCUCCACACUGGUGGCUCAAAUUAACAAGCUCAGGGCUCACCACCUUGAUUAUCUGAUCAAAUUUAUUUGAUUUGAUAAGUUGGAGAAUUUACAUCGAAAACUUCGACUUUCGAUGGAUAUUGCAUGUCAGUUGGGUUUUGAAGUUGAACAUCAAGUACCCUAUGUUCAUAGCCAGAAUGACCCAACAGAAGCAUUCAUUAAACACCUUCAAAUGAUUGUGCAAUCGAUUGGUCAUAUGUACCAAGUUCCACGAUCUUUGCUUGGGGCCAUAUAAUAUUGCAAGCAACCAUGUUGGUCUGCUUGAGGCCCUUCACAACCCAACUUUAUGAAGUGCGUGUCAGUUGGUUACCAGAUAUGGACCCGACCUAUCGUAUCUGCGCGUCUUUGGUUGUGUGGUCUAUGUGCCAUUUUGCGCCACCCUUACGUACAAAAGAAAAAAUGGGUCCUGAGGGAAGGAUGGAAAUCCAUGUUCGUUAUGAUUCUCCUUUUAAUAUUCAUUACUUAGAACCCUUGACAUGCGAUCUUUUUACUGCUUGUUUUGCAGAUUGUCAUUUUUAUGAAACAGUUUUCCCGUUGUUAGGGGGAGAUAAGAACGUCAACGUUCCAAAAGAACGACGCGAAUUAUCGUGGACAUCCCCACUGUGUCUCAUAUCAAUCCCAAUCUAGAUUGUCAGAGUAUAACCAGACAUUUCCUCUGAUCUAGGAAAAUUGACGAGAUCACAUAUACCAGCUGCAAAUGUGCCUGCCAAGAUGUGUAUUAAAUGUACGAUGUACUUUUGUCCCGAAAGUAGAAACGCUACUACUGUGGCCUACCCUCAUACAUUGGCGGCUAGCCAAUCAAUCUGUCAUGUGCCAGAAGCGUGGCAGAUCAUUCGGUUCGAGGAUUUACUUCCCCAAAAUUGGAGGAACAUGGCAUGAACAAAUCCGCCUCUCGAUUGUUGUCUCAAUCCUUUUCAUCUCAUGAUAUUAAAUCCGGAUUACUCCCGAGACCUGAAGUUCUUGGUCCAGUAUACUAAUUUGGAUGAGAUAUGGAAUUGGAAUUAGAUUAUCAUAGAUGAUGUUUCAUUUAUAUGGUUAUUACCGACAUAAAUGAAAAACGAUGACAACGAACCGUAUUCCGUUGAUUAGCAUCAACCUAAAACUGAUUGGUCAACUAAAAGAUCAACGUAAAAUUGAUUGGUCAACUAAAAGAAUCAAUCUAUUAUGAAUGAGAUGAAUGAAAUAAUGCGAUAUGAUGCCUUGUGGCGCAAGGUUUCUCUCAUACGUUAUGUGAUUGAUUGUAGCAUUGCAAACAUGGUUGUAGUAUCUCUGGGAUCCUGAUACGAACCUAUAUGGAGUUUCCAAAGAACUUACAUGUACUGAUUCAAAUAGUUCUAGACCACAAGAACACCCUAUCAGUUCUCAAGAGGCAUUUACUUUACGGAUGUAGAACUAUUCAGGCGGAUCUGGUAUACUCGUCUAAGUGAAUAUUUGAAUAGUUAGGGAUAUAUGCCCCUGAGUGUAGAAAAUCUGAAAUUGCUAGAGUUAAGAAAACUGACUCGUACCUAAAUCGGACUUUAAGAUGAAUGAUCUUGGGAAAACCCGACAUUACCUUGACCUAAAGUUUCGAGCUAGUUCUGAUGGUAUUAUGGUCCACCACUGGAACUAGACCCAAAAGGUGUUACGUCUAAGUAUACCCUGAUCGUCUGUAUGCUAGAUGCAAAUGAGACCUUUACGGACGGUAUAGAGCAUAAGGUUCCAUAUUGGAACGUGAGGCAGCCAUAUCUAAGUGCCAUUUACGUUUUUUGUACUUAGCUCAAAUGCACUAGAUCAGACAUCUUAUGUGUUGAUAAUCUUUUGACAUAAAGCAGCAUUAUGCCUAACACGCCCCCAUUAAACUUGGUGUUAAAGACGUUUUUUCGUUACUACGGAGAUGGGCUUUUCUAUCCCUAUGCAUUUCAGAAUAGAUCAUACCCCCUUGAUCUUCGGAAUGAUGCCUACCUUGUAGGAUUCGCUGAAUCAGACCAUUUGUCUGAUCGCACAUGGUACGUUUCCGAAUGGUUAAGUCUUUACCAUUAAGGAACACCGCAAUAUCUUGGAAGUCAACCAACUAGACCUUUUUUUGUUGCUAAACUUUUGAAUCGUUCCAAGACUCACUAUGUCUCAUCACGUGAGAGAUAUGGUUGAGAAAUCUUGUUGAGCAUAUUCAAAAUCCCUGUGAUUUUCAUCUAUCGUUGAGUCCCAACAACGAUCCAUGAAGACAAUGCCAUAUGUAUUGACCAGAUCAUGAUACAUCCAACAAGUCAACACCAAGCAUAUUAUGUCUACAUCAGCAUGAGCAUCAGAAUAUUGAAGUCAAGCAGUUUGAUCCUAGACAACCUUGCCAACCUAUACAACGUCACUGCCGAAGUCUACCUUUCCAGAAGCUUGUCCAAGGAAUUGGUAUGCGUAACUUUCUCAUUUGCAAUGCUUGUAGUUUUAUUUUGAAGUUUUGUCAAACUCAGGGAGAGUAUCUAAAAGUAUACUCACUUGAUAUUAAUGUACUCUUUUUUCCUACAAUUAGGAGCAUUUUUCUCACUAGGUUUUUGCUACCUAACUAGGUUUUAACGAGGCAUCUAUCCUGGGCUGAUCAUACCCUUGUGAACUCUUCUACUUGCGUCCAGAAGAUGUAUAGUUUUGACUUAAUGCAACUUCUCACUUUUCUACUUUGAAUAUGGGCUUUUUGUCUCAUCUUGGGUUUUUCCAUAGCGAGGUUUUGUGAGUUUUACCACCCAUGCAUUCUUCCGUUCGUUUUGAGACUCGCAUUUGCUACUUGUGCCAACUAGAUGAGACGACUUCAUCAACUGCUUCUAUAUUUACCUGAAGAUCUGAUGCGCCAUGUACUUGAGUAUUUGCACACUCAAGGGGGAAUGUUGUGACAUAUGUUAUUAUCAAUAUGUGAUUGUGUAAAUCCUAAGUGGAGAUAAAAUAGGAAUCCCUUGAGAUUUAGAAGAUCUUUCCUAAUAUACUUUGUAUUACUUGGAGAGCAAGUUUCUCUCCUCCUUAUUACUAUAAAUAAAGGCACAAGGAUUGGGGAAUUAAUACACAAUUCCUCAAGCCUAUUCUCCACUCUCUCUUUCUCUCUAUGCCGCACCCCUUGGUAAAUAUAGGCCACAACAAUAACCGCAUUUUCACGGAAAUUGUAAACUAUAGUUGUAAGUUUUUAAUCGAUUCCGUUAAUUUUUUGUAAACUAUAGCCCUAAGUUUUUAAUUGAUUCCGUUAUUUUUUUUAAAAUUCAUAUUUUCUUGGCAUUUUCCCAGCAUCACAUGCUUCAUAACAUUCAAGUUGGACAUUCCAUAAAUGUUCUAGCCGCCGAAAUCCAUUAUGGUUUUGGAAACUCUGUUUUGGGCCUUACUAGUACUGUUCUUGAAUUUUCAACUUUUCAACCAAAAUUGGGAUUUUCGCAUAAAUUGUGUGCUAUAACUCUUACUAUUUUAAUAUUUUUUUUUUUUUUUACAUAACAAGUCUAUAGUUCGAUUUCCUCCGGUAUAACAAGAAAAUGAUUGUCAUGGUUGUUCAAAUAAUUAAUAAAAAAUUAUAGGGUAAUUCUAUUAACACUCUACAAUCUUAUGAAGACACUUAAAAUUUGUCAGGUGAACUUCCUCUUUUACCCCUAUUUGAAUUAAGGUGAGAAAAAGAAAAUCCAACCAUCCAAUUAUUUGUCGACAGCCAACCACCUCACAGCCAUCCACUUACCAUGGCACCACAUUCUCUAAAGUUCAUCUUCUUGUUGGUAUGAAUUCUCUGUAAUUGAUAUCUGGCAUCAAUUGUCAAGACAACUCGUGCUUGUUGAUUUGAUCUAUGCUUUUGCACUUCUAAUUUCAUUUUGUAGUUGCAUGUUUCUACAAUUCUUUGCGAGUAUAAAGCCUCUAGAAUUUGGGUAUUUUCAUUGCUUAAUUGAAGUGAAGGACUAUUACAUUCUUUUUUAUUUUCUUUGGAAACGGGGUUGGUGAGUUUGGGUGUUGGAACUCAAGGUGUAGGGAGAGAACGAGAGAGGUUGGAGAUGUGAUGCUAAUGGGGUUUAGGGAUGUGAACUCGGUGGAAUGGAGAUGUUUAGUGUUUCUUUUUGGUUUUGGGGUGGGGUGGCUUCAGAAAUAUGAGGGACAAAGUUGGAAUUUUUGAGGAAUUUUUUGGAGGUGGGGUGGAUUCAUAACAUUGUGGGGUGUGUAUAAAAUAACCCAAAAUUAUAACCUAGUAAUGUAACUAAGGAAAAAAGAAAACACAUAAAACAAAAGGAUGUUGUAGACGAGAGAUUUUUUAGUGUGGGGACAGAGAGUGGAACACCAUAUGUGAUUAUACAUUGGAGGAAUUUUUUUUUCAAGUGUCUUUCCAAUUGUAUUAGGACAUGUGAUUUUUCGCUUAAAGUUCUGGACACAGUGAAAAAGCUCUCGUUGUAUAAAUGGGUUAAAUACAGUCUUCUGCAUCAAGUUCAAAUUCUUGUUCUCAUAAGUUUAAUUAGACGUUAAAAUUGUCAUCCAAUACAUCGAACAUAAGACAUUUUCUUUGGAUCAACGAGAGGAGAGUUCAACUUUUCUCUCUCAAAGACCUCUCUCGCUGAAAGACAAAUAGAGGUAAAAAAAUUGUACCAGCCGGCCUUAGCCUUUGGCUUGGGUGUCGGUGGUAGCCCCUCUUUUUGAUCCUCAUUCCCUCUUUCUUUCUUCCCUUUUUCUAUUAUUUCAAUUUUCUACUAAGUUUUGUUUCAGCUUUCUUUGAAAUUGGUCUUAAUUUUUCUUCUGAAUUUGUCUUAGAUUUGGGCUUCAUGCCCCUUCCUCAGCGUCCAUCGUCGCUUGUCCGCCGUUUUUCGUCAGUUUUUACUGCCUUUUGUUAUUUAGGUUUCCACCGUCCCUCUCCUGUGCCUUUUGGUCUGAUCAUGGCAAACAUUAUUGUAUAACAUAUCGUCUAAGUCAACAAAAUAGAAAAGAAAAAACCUUACAACGUCAUUUAAGGAAGAACUAGUCUUAUGCUAACUUUGGUUUGCGAGCCAAUUACUAUGCGUCCCUCUUCUUGUUGAAAGGGACAGUUCCCUCCAUUUCCUGCGUUGUUGAAGUUCAUGUUAACUACAUUGCAAUGGUUGUGGAUUGAAGGGAAAAAUAAGGAGAAAGGAUGAACAUAAAGAUGAACAGAGAGAUAUGAGAGAGAGAAGAAAGUUUAGAGAGAGAAAUAGGUUUUGUAUUAACUCAUCAAAUGAAGAUUACACAUACUAUUUAUAUAGAAAUCCUAACUACUUUAACCAGAUAUUAACUACCUAACUAUAUUACAUUUUUACCCUUAAUAGUUCAAACAGUGCAGGAAGAGAGAGAGCCAUGCAUCUAUGGUCGUCGGCGACAAUCAGAGACUCCUUCAAGCUCGCCUACCUCAGAAAGCUCGAAUGGAACCUCCAGAGGAUGAAAAGCGAGAAGGAAUCAUAGAAUUUAGUCGAUCAAAAGCUGCUCGACGGCCAAGAAGCCGGAGCUGCCAGACAGCCGAAUAGCCCACAAUGCGAAAUCAACGGGAAAGCACUACCAAUUCUAAGGCUCGUGGAGGUGAUGGAGUGGUCGUUGGACUCUGUAGCGAGAUUCUGAUGCUUCUCUCUUGCUGCUUCUGCUGUUAUUCAUCGUCAUUAUUUGGUUUUCUACGUGGGGGAAAUUUGCUAAUUUUUUAUCGUCAGUGUUUUAACUUAGGUAGAAAAAUUGGGUUAAUCGUUGCUUAGGGAGACCUAAAAAAAAAAAAAUCUCAUAUAGGAAUAGGACUCAAAAGGUGAACCUCACUGUUAAUUUUAAGUGGAAAACAAGUUCACUCACGUGUGAGUGCUGUACAUCAUCUUCUUUUUGUUAAAAGAUGGGUACAGCCAAAAGUAAAAGAAUUUAUGCGGCCAUUUUUAUUGAAAGAUGGGUAAAUUUGGCACGUCCACUUGUAUACAAUUAAUGAAAGUUUCAAACAUGACACGUUAUAUUGAAACUUCAAUGAAUAUAAGAUGGGAUGAGUACUCGAAUUUAUAUGAUUAAAACACCAUUUACACUUUUAUUUUCAGCCUCCAAAAGCCCAAAACACGAAAAUAUGGAUGAUGGUUUUUUUUUACUUUAAUGUUGGGUGGGCCUUGUGGGUUUCAUUACUCAAAAAGCCUAAAGCAGAAGUGGGCUGUAAUUUGCUUUUUGUGGUGGAACCUAACAAGUUGAAGAUGGGCCUAAUGGCUAGCAGACAGUUUAACAGAUCAAGUGAGGUUAGCUACGUAGCCAAGCAAAAUUCCAUCUUACCUCACCCACAUUGAGUUUGAGUUGCCGGUCUCUUGAGACUAGCAAGAUUCCAAUACCUCUACCUCAGAGGGCCAAAAGAGUGACAUAAACAUAAUGUAUAUCCUUAUUCUUACUAUUUCUAAACGUAUUAUAAGCAUAUUACUUCACACUAUCAGCAUGUAUAGAAAAUUUUCAACGUGAACGUAACACUGUCACAUACUGUUAUAUAAUAGGUGAUUAGUAACAUUACGUGACACUGUCACGAUCACAUAAAAAAAACUUGGGUAAGGUAAUUUGACUAGCUGAAUGGUCACACACUCUCAUAAAGGAAUGAGCAUUGCUUUUGGUACCUAUGACCCGAUGCAGGUACAAUUUACAAUCACACAGUCUCACGCUUUGUGAGAGUGACUUGAUUAUCAAGCUGCAAUAGUGAAUACUCUCUCCUACGAUUAAAACUCUCAUGCACCAUAUUUCAUACCCGUUUUUCUGUCUAUUUAUCUAGAUUAGUCCUAUGAUGUGAUGAGAGAGAUUAAAAGAAAGGAUAUGAAACUGAAACAUGGAAUAUAUAAGUAAAAAAAAUGUGUGCAAGCUUCUAUGAUUGCUUCUUCUAGCACGGCAAACAAGUGCAAUACUUCAAAGUCAAGCAACCACCGUCGCUUCUUCUUAAGAGCUCACCCUCACCCUCAGUCUCCACCACCAAAGGGACCUCCCUCUACUGCCACAUCUUCAAACUUCAACUGCAAAAAUUACCAACAAAUUAAUCAAAUUUACUUAAUUAUGGCACCCAUCACCAGCCUCGUCUGCUUCGUUCUCACUCACUUUGGUUUUCUCUGGACACCCACAGUUUUUCAAAAUUUCAGGCAUGAAAUCCCCAUUGAGCUCGAGCGAGGUACAUUCAGCAGUUACAGGUACGAAAAUCCCCUCGGUCUCUCUCCCUUGGGUUUUGGUUUUGCACACCCUGUACUUGUAACCCUUAUGUAAUCUCAUCAUUGCAGCUACCUGCAUUUAAUUGUUGUUCAAACUUAAUCAACACCAUAUAUAUAGAUAUAUAUGUGCGAUUAUAUGUAUGUAUGUUGAAACAAUCAAAGUUCGACAUGAAGGGCCGUUGUUUGGUUUUGGAGCUGCAGAUGGUGUUCUGAUCAUGGAAUUCUGAUCAUGGAAAACAUUGUAUAACCUAUUGGAGCUGCAGAUGAAUGUAUUGUACAUGUGUUUUGUUAUGCAUCGUGUAUGAUCAGGAGAAAUUAGUCUGUUGUAUUGGAUACGAAGCAUUGACAUUCGCCUAUCUUGUUAGUAAGUUCUCUUAUCAUUUUAUCUUGUACAUAUUUUGUGGGUGUCGAUUAAUUUGGGAUUGAUUCUCCAGUGAGUCAGUUUUGUAAGCAUUUCAUUUUCAGCUUUUAGUUUUUAGUUUUUAUUUUUUGGUUUUUGGUUUUCAGUUUUCAUUUUUUGAAUUUGAAAAAUGAAAUAUGGUUUUGUAACUACAUUCAGUUUUCAUUUGAAACCAAAAAGUGAAAACUCACGACUAAAUUUAGAAAACUCAAGAAAAUAAUUUUUAGGUAUUAUUCUUUUUGAAAUCUGGAAGCAGUUACCAAUUAAGAUUUCAGUUUUCAAUUUAAAAAAUAAAAAAGUGAAGACGAAAUGUAAGAAGUUUGAACGAGUUUAGAUGACCUUUAAGGUUUAAGCAUAAGGGGUUGCCUUAAAUAGAAGCAAUUAGAGCUAAUUUCUACACUUUACCAUCCUUUAUUUCUACACUUUGUACUGGUUUGGUACUGAUGUGCUUUUAUAAAAAGUGGGUAUAAAAAAAAGCUGAGCUCAAAAAGGUGUUUGGUAAACACUUAAAAACAACUUAUUUUCACAGUUUUGUAUGAAAAAAAGUUGAAAACAUGAAGUAGCAAAAAUGAGCUUAUUCUCACAUCACAGCAGAAGCAGUUUUUUUUUUCAAAACACAGCAAUACAAAACCAAUCUAAUCUGACGGACCAAAUCUUCCACAUCACUAUCAAUUCUACUUCAUCCUCUUACUCCAAAGUCUCAUUCACUAAAUGAUCCAAAAGUCCAAUUCCAUUUUAAUUGGGUGACCUUGCCACUCAGAGUAUUUCAAUUGUGUAGGGUUUGCAACAGUGGUGUGCAGAGUCAAAAAUCCAUGUUAGGAGAGGCCCUUAAGCUAAUGAAAGAAAUUAGAAAAAAAAAUUAGUAAUAUCAUGGAAAAUUUUAAUCAAACAAGAGUGAUUGAGCUUUAAAAUUUGUAUGAAAAAAUUAGUAUUGAGUAUAGUCAUAGUAAAUAGAACUUGUGUUAACAUCUUACACAACAUUGAUAAUAACGUUAUAACUAGCUCAAACUAUUAUUAUGUGAUUUUUCUUUUAAUAUUAUUGAAUGUUCUUCUCAAAUGUAUAUAUACCUUGUUUUAUAUGAACUAAAAAAAAGGUUUUAAUAGAAAUCAUAGGGUUGGCAGAAGGGUGGUUAUAUAUGGUUUUUACUUGUGGGGGGUUUAAAAAACCAAAAGGUAGUUUUCUGUUAGCAAGUGUCAAUCCCAGGACGUGAUGAUACCUCCAAAAUGUGGAAGUAGUUACCAAUUAAGAUUUCAGUUUUCAAUUAAAAAAAAAAAAAGUGAAGACGAAAUGUAAGAAAUUUGUACGAGUUUAGAUGACCUUUAAGGUUUAAGCAUAAGGGGUUACCUUGAAGAGAAGCAAUUAGAGCUAAUUUCUACACUUUACCAUUCUCUAUUUCGACACUUUAUCUGAUCUGACAUACCAAAUCUUCCACAUCACUCUCAAUUCUACUUCAUCAUCUUACUCCAAAGUCUCAUUCACUCAAUGAUCCAAAAGUCCAAUCCCAUAUUAAUUGGGUGACCUCGCCACUCAAAGUUUUUCAAUUGUGUAGGGUUUGCAACAGUGGCGGAAUGCUAGGAGGGACCUUUUAAGCUAAUGAAAAAAAUUAGAAAUUUUUUUUAGUAAUAUCAUGGAAAAUUUUAAUCAAAUAAGAGUGAUGGAGCUUUAAAAUUUGUAUGAAAAAAUUAUUAUUGAGUAGAGUCAUAGUAAAUAGAACCUGUGGGGGUUUAAAAAACCAAAAGGUAGUUUUUUGUUAGCAAGUGUCAAUCCUAGGACCUGAUGAUACCUCCAAAAUUUGAUCUACCAAUACACCACAUACUCAUUAUUGCUAAAACCAAUAGACAAAUAUAAGUUUAAAUUCCAGGAUGGGCACUGGACUACCCUAGUCUCUAUGUGGCUCCACCAUUGGUUGCAAUUGCAUUAAAUGAGAUACAACGUUGCAAUAUAGCAUAUUUCAUAGCAUACUUAAGGUAUCUAGACACCUACUUUUAGUUCUAAGGGAAAUUCUCUCGUUUUAACAAGAAAUUAUUGUAUGGUACUGGGACGUUGUUAAAAGAUAUAGCCAUUUCAAUUUUAACAUUCAAAUUGGUAUUAAAAUCAACUCUAAAGCAUAAUUUCGCCGUCUACCUAUUUCAUAACACACAAAUUUGUAUAUAUUUUUUUGUUUUCAUUUCAACUUAGUCAUAAUCAAAAUAGAUUUUUUUUACUCAUAAGUGUUGUGGCCAAUUUAUCUGACAAGGGAGAGAGGGGCGCAACAAGAUAGAGAAUGGAGAAAGUGUUGGGAUUUCUGUGUGUAUGAGAUGUGUUAUUUCCCUACAGAGUGCCUUUAUUUAUAGUAAUAAAGAAGAGAGGAAUUACCUGUCCUCCAAGUAAAUACAAUCCUAGUAGGGAAAGAAUAAAUAGUAACCAAAUCUGUUUAAGAUUUACACAAGACCUUUGAUAUAAUAUCUAUAACACUCCCCCUUAAGUGUGUAAAUAGUCAAGUAGAUUCAUCAUCAAGUAAAGUUGAGGAAGUCAACUCGUUGACACUGAUUUGGCAACACACUAGUCUUAGACAAAGGAACUUGCAUAUAGAACUAGGUCUCACAAAAACCCAAGGUGGGUCAAAAACCCGUAGUCUAAGGAAGGUGCGUGAGAAAGUGUAAAGUCAAAUUAACGUCUACGAGACGUAUUUCAAGAAUAUGACCAAUCCAAGAUGGGUGCCUCGUCAAAACCUCAUCAGGUAGCAAAAACCCAAAGGGAAAAAUUCUCCCAAUCGUAGGAAAAAAAGUACAUUAAAAUCAAGCGAGUAUACUUUGGGAUACUCCCCCUGAAUUUGACAUAAUUCCAAAGAGAACUAACAAUAUUACAACUCAGAAAGUUUACGUAUACCGAUUCCCUGAACAAGCUUCUGAAACGUCGUCUUCGGUAAAGAUUUGGUGAAGAGGUCGGCUAGGUUGUCCUAGCCCAGAGAAUAUUUUCAGAGAAUAUGAUGGGAUUUGGAAAAACAAUAAGUUAAAUAUUAAGGGGAAGUAGUAUUUAUAUUUAAUUGUUGCUUUAGCUUGUGUAUGUGUAUGGAGGCUUCUUUUGCACCCCUCUCAACUAAAAUUCCAUCAGAAAAAAAAAGGGCUGGGAGAGGCCAUGAAAUCGUGGGUAUUGUUAGGUUUAAGUACUAGUUUGGUACUGCUUAACUUUUAAAAAAAAGCAGGUAUGAAAAAAAGCACCCAAUUUUUUUGUGUUUGGUAAACUUUCAAAAUCAGUUUUUUUUUUCCAUAGUUUUGGGUGAAAAAAGGUAAAAAGGCAAAGCAGCAAAACCCAGCUUUGGAAAACCAGUUUUUUAUCACAAUACACGGGUGAAUAGUGCCAUUAAAUGAAAUUUUCAAAAUGGUAACCUUACCCUAUCUUUCUCCUUCAUCCCAGUUCUGGACUCCACCCCCUUUCUCCAGUCGCUCUCCGAUGUUGUACUGCCUAGAUUCACCACCCCAUCUCUCUCCCAAUCCCCACCAAAUACACCCAUCGCCACCUUGCAGACAAUGAUCCCAACCCACUCCCUGCUAGAUGAUAACACAGAUCCCACCCACCCACCCACCACCGCACCUUCCAAAACAUGUAAUGCCCUGGAAAUUGAAAUGUAGGAAAUAGAAAUUGGAGUGAGGACGAAGGUGCCAGGUCGCCGGAAUUGAAAGAGAAAUGCCAAGGGACGAAGGUGGGUGAGGACUUUGAAAUUUCAGGAGGGAUCAUUGAUUAAAAAUGGAAGAAAAGCCAGAAACAUUUUGGCAGAACGAAAUAGAAAGAAAGAAGAAUGAAAAAGCUAGAAACAAAGGGAAACAAAGAAGAAAGGAAAAAGGAAACAAUCAUGAACUUUUUGGCAGAAAGAAAAAGAAAAGAAGAAAAACCCAAACGUUUUUUUUUUUUUUUUCAUUUUACACAAUCACAACUGUUUUACAUAAAUAUUUACCAAACACUAUAACACUACUUUUUUUUUUUAUUAAAAGCACUUUUACAAUUAUCGUUACCAAACACUUUACUGCUUUAUUUUACAGCUAAUUAUUCUUACAGCACAACAGAAGCAGUUUUUUUUUCAAAGCACAACAAUACCCUUCACUUUUUUUACUAUUUCUGCAAGAACUUACCCUUCACUUUUGCUUGCUGAGUGGGUUGGGCACUGUAAAAACUAGAAGGUGAAUACUAGUUUGCAUCUAGAAAACAAAGGGCAACUUUAAGCAAACAAGGUUCUCUGCUUUGUGAAAGUCGUGGGCAGAAGGGGGGUGAAAUCCUUAACCCUCGCAAAUACAUAAAUGACACGUUUACUAAUCCGUAAUCAGAAUGAGGAAAAUUGAAAUGAGGAUGAAUUGAAUUAAGGAGGUGUUGAAUUGAGGGGAAAUCAUAAUCAAAUUCAUAUUAAAUUUAUUUACUAAUUCACUUGAAUCGGAAUUGAAUUUUGUUUGAUUACUAAACUGCUCUUGUUCUACAUAAUUUUUUUUAUCAUCCUCGUUAGUAAAAAUUUUAAUUUAUUUAACAUACAUUAAUCCAAUUUGUCGCCAUAAAAUAGAGGAAGAAUGUUUUUUUUACAUAAAAACAAAAAUAAAUAAAAAAACUCAUAACAACGAACACAAAGGAAGCACUUUUUUCCCCAAUUAACCUCACCAUCUCCCUUUCACCAGCCACCAUAGCCCUCCCAUCAGUGGCGAAGCCAAGAAUUAUUAAGAAAAAGGGCGAAAUUUAAAAGGGUAAAAAGUCCUGGAAAGAUGUAGACAUUUAUUCAAGGCCUAAGUCCAUGGUACGCAUGAAGAUUAGACAAUACUUCAUUCAACUAAGUGACUUCACUUUAUUGAGAACUUUCCUGAAUAUUCGAAUGAGGAUUUGUACUAACCGAAAUAUUCGAAUGAGGAUUUAGUCUACCCGAAAAUAUUCAAAAGAGGAUUUGGGCUAACCGGAAUAUUUGAAGGAGGAUUUAAGCACCGUUUCUUAUAAUAUAGUUCCAUUAUGCAAUUGUAUAAUGAGCAGGGUUUUAAAAGACAUUAUGCACUAGUCAGGUGGCGUGAUGUGCUCUAAUGCCUAGAGCUUAAGUAGAGCUUAGGCAAACUAGGCGGAUUUAAGUAAUUUAUCGUAUAAAUAAUUGCUAUUUAUUAUAUAACAUAAAUUAUAUAAAAUAUUAAUUAUAUAACAUAUAAUAUAUUAAAAUUGAUAGAUUUCCUUAAUAUUUUUGUCAAUUAUAAUAUGAGUUAAAAUUUAAGUGAUUAUGAGCUCGUAAAAAUUUACAUAUGUUGUAGGCCUAUUUAACUGAACUAUUCUAAGGGAAUGGAGAGGGGGGAGACCGACGGCAAUAGAGAGAGAAGAGAGAGAUUUAAUUGUGAGGUGUGUGUUGUAUCAUCCCAUUGUGCCUUUAUUUAUAGUAGUGGGAUAGGUUAAAUCUUUACCCUUUUAGGAUUACAACUGUAAUAGGAUAUUAACUACUAAAAGAAAUAUUCAAAGAUAUCCCUAGAUACACUAGGAUUUACACAAUCACAUUCUUAUUCUAAAUAUGACUGCAACACUCCCCUUGAGUGUGUAAAUACUCAAACAAAACAUCGCAUUAGAUCUUCAACAAAUAAGGUAGAACAGUUGAUGAAGUUGGCGGCACAAUGGGCGAAUGCAAGUCUUAAAUUUAAAGAAAGUAUGCAUUGGUAGUAAAACUCACAAAACCUCCCUAUGGUAAAACCUAAGGCAAGUGAAAACCCAUAGCCUAAAGAGAAAAGUGAGAAAUAUGCAUAAUGUAAAAAACAAACGUCAAACAGGACGAAAGUAGUGAACUCAAUGAGUAUGAUCAUCCCAAGAUGGGUGUCUCAUCAAAACCUCGUUAGGUAGAAAAAAAUCAGUGGGAAAAAUGCUCAUAAUCGUAGGAAAAAGAGUUCAUUAAGAUCAAGUGAGUAUGCUUCAGGAUACUCCCCUGAGUUAGACAUAAUUUCCAAAUAAGAGAACUAUAAGUAAUUCAACUCAGAUAAUUUACGCAUACCAAUUCCUUGGAUGAGCUUCUGAAAAGUAGACUUGGGCAAUGACUUGGUAAAGAGAUCGGCUAGGUUGUCUUGGGAACGGAUUUUUGACUUUAAUGUUCUGAUGCUGUUGUUGUUGGUGAAAAUAAAAAAACUUCAGUGCACUGUGCUUGGUGUUGUCUCCCUUGAUGUAUCCCUUCUUUAACUGCUCAAUACAUUUAGCAUUGUCUUCAAAGAUUGUCGUAAGAAGGUCAAUGAUGGUAGUAAAACUAUUAGUGCUUCGAAUAUGUUCCAUGACUACUCUCAACCAAAAGCACUCAUGCGAUGCUUCAUGCAAGGUGAUAAUCUCAGCAUGGUUCAAAGAAGUCGCAACUAGCGUUUGCUUGGUAGACCUCUAAGAUAUAGCGGUGUCUCCAACGUUAAAGAUAUAGCACGUUUGAGAACGUGCCCUAUGUGGGUCAGACAGAUAUCCCGCAUCUGCGUAACCAACAAAGCAUGAAUCAACCCGAGAACCAAAGGGGGUGGCGGUUCUCUGUCGUACCCUUAAGGUCGUGAAAAAUGUCUUUAACACCAUUCCAGUGUCUACAUAUGGGCGCAUUGCUGUAUCUAGCCAAAAGAUUAACAACGAAUGAGAUAUCGAGUCUAGUGCAUUGAGCCAAGUACAAUAAAGCCCCAAUUGUACUUAGGUAUGGAAUUUCAGGCUCUAAAGCUCUUCCUCAUCCUCAUUUGGACGGAAAGGAUCUCGUUUAGUAAGUACAGUUUAAACAACCAUAGAAGUACUCGAAAGCUUCGCUUUAUCCUCAUUAAAACAUUGCAACACCUUUUGGGUGUAGUUCGAUUGAUGUAUUAAGAUUCUAUCCGAGCAAUGCUCAAUCUCCAGGCUAAGACAAUAUCAAGUUUUCCCAAGAUCUUUCAUCUCAAAUUUCGAUUUCAAGUAAACGGUAAUUUCCUUAAGCUCUGCGGAAGUUCCGAUGAGGUUCAUGUUGUCGAUAUAAACUGCAACAAUUACAAAUCUGGAAUGUGACGUCUUUAUGAACACGCAUGGGCAUAAUUCGUUGUUCACAUAAUCCUGACUUGUCAAAUAUUCACUCAGACGGUUAUACCACAUUCGUCCGGAUUAUUUCAAUUCGUAAAAUGAUCUCCUCAAUCUAAUAAAGAUAGUGUUCCAUGGUCUAGAACUAUUUGAACCAGUCAAUGGAAGUUCUUCUAGAAAUUUCAUGUAGAUUUCCAUAUCUAGAUCCUCAUAGAGAUACGUGGUUACAACGUCCAUAAGCUGCAUAUUCAGUUUUUUAGAAACUACCAAACUGAUAAGGUAGCGGAACAUUAUGACGGCCAUUACGGGGGAAUACAUCUCUUUGUAAUCAAUCCCAAAGCAAUGAGAGAAGCCUUGCACUACAAGGCGUGCUUUGUAUCACACUAUUUCAUUCUUCUAAUUACGCUUCCUUAAGAAAACCCAUUUGUAGCCCACGGGCUUCAUGUGUGGUGGGGUAUGAACUAUAGGUCCAAACACCUUACGUUUCGCAAGCGAAGUGAGUUCGACCUGGAUUGCUUGUUUUCAGUUUGACCAAUCAGUUCUACGUCGGCAUUCAUCAACGGAAAGUGGUUCAAUGUCAUCACUAAGUAUGAUGUCAGUAGCUACUGUGUACCCAAAUGCAUCGUCGAUAAUCAUCUCAUUCUAACUCCAAACCUCAUCCAAUACUACUUAGUGGACCGAAAUCUCACGAUUCUUGGGAGGUCGGGUUGUCUCAUCUAAGACAUCACCGUAAUCUAGAAUAACCUCAUGCAUUGGAGCAGAUGAGCGAGUGAUGGUCGAAUUCAGACUAGGGUCACUAGUUUAUACUGUUUUCCUAUCCCGGGGUUGUGAAUCCUUUAAACCAAGAGGUCUCAUCAAACCCAUACUAUGUUCAUCAUUCAGACAAUCUUAGUCAUAUGCUAGUUUCAGAAAAAUUGAAUGGAUCUAACUAUCCAUCUUGGAGUAAUUCCAUGAUUCAUGCUCUCAUCGCCAAAAACAAAAUUGGUUUUGUUAAUGGCUCCAUUCAGCCUUCCUCACCAACAGAUCAACCAAAAGAAUAUGCUCUCUGGAAUCAAUGCAAUAGUAUGAUUUUAUCAUGGUUCGCUCAAUCUGUAGAUGUGAUCUUUCCAAAAAAGUUGUUCAUGCCAAAAGCGCCCAACAAGUAUGGGAAGAUUUCAGAUAUCAGUUCUCACAAAAGAAUGCACCAACAAUUUAUCAAAUCCAAAAGUCCAUCGCAUAUCUCACACAGGGCUCCAUGACAGUCUCAGCCUAUUUUACAAAGCUUAAAAGCCUUUAGGACGAAUUAGAGACAUAUCGUCAUCUUCUCAUCUGCGACCAAACAAAGGCACAUAAUGAACAAAUAGAAGAAGAUAAGAUGAUGCAAUUUCUUAUGGGUCUGAACGAUGUCUACUGCGGAUUUCGCAGUAAUAUUCUAAUGAUGACACCACUGCCCAAAGUUCGUCAAGCCUACUCACUUACUAUUCAGGAUGAAACACAACGACAAAUGUUAUCGGGGUCGAUUGAAAAUUUCUCAAUUGCUGCUGCUGUUCAAAAUUGACCAAACCAUUCUUCCAACAAUUCUAAAAAUCCUCACUGUGAAUACUGUGAUAAAGACGAUCAUACAAUUGACAAUUGUAGGACUUAAAUGUACCAUUGCAAGUUUUGUGAUAAGCGAGGCCACACUGAAGACAGAUGUAGAUUUAAAAUGGAACAAGCGGAGGAAAUCAAGGCAACAACAAAUCAAUUCCACGUGGGUCCCAAGGCAACAACAACCCACGUGUUGUAUCUCAAAAUUUCCAUGGUUUCCAUGCUGCCCACGUAGCAACUAGUGGUUCCUAUUCUGCUACAAAUGCAGCAGCUGCAUCCGCUGUCCCAUACAAUCUGGCGUAUAGACAAGGUGCCCAGCAACCUCCAUCGAACCCAUUGCAAGGCCUCUCAACGGAACAGCUUCAACAAUUAGCCCAUGUUGUGUCCCUGGUGAAUUUAAAUCCUCAUUCUGGUAAUAACAAUGCUUAUGCGAAUGCUGCAUGUCUAUCAUCUUUUACUGUUGCCUCCGUUAAUUCUGUAUUUUCUCAACCUUGGAUUUUGGAUAGUGGGGCUAUCAAUCACAUCACAUCACAUCAGAUUCUUUACUUUUUACCAAAACUAAAUCUUCACCAAUAUCCAUUGUUAAAUUACCAACCGGUUCUUCAGCCACAGUUACUUCCACUGGCACCAUACCAUUCAAUUCAGACAUUACAUUAGACAAUGUUUUAUGUGUUUCUUCUUUUCAUUUAAAUCUCAUGUCUGCUAGUCAAGUCACUGACUCCCUAAAUUGUUGCGUCAUUUUGUUUCCCACUUUCUGUGUCUUGCAGGACUUGGAUACUAGGAGGAUGACUGGAUCGGGUAAGCAGCGUGGUGGUCUUUAUUACAUGUCACCAUUGCAGCGGACGCCUGUCUCUUGUCAAGUUUCUCAUUCCUCCAAUUUAUGGCAAAUGCGACUUGGACGUCAUUCUCCAACCCGCUUUAAAUUAGUAUUUCCCUCAUUGUCUACCAAUAAUAUUUGUACCAUUUAUCCUAUAGCCAAACAAACCAAACUUCCAUUUCCUUUAAGCUCUAUAUAAACUCAUGCUCCAUUUGAUUGAUUACAUUGUGAUAUUUGUGGUCCUCACAAAGUUCCCAUGCAUUUAGGUGCUUGAUUUUUUCUCACUAUUGUCGAUGAUUUUACUAGGUGCACAUGGGUUUUCUUGAUGCAACAUAAAACUGAAACUCAACACCUUUUAAAAUCUUUUGUUACUUGUACCCAUACAUAAUUUCAUGCACAAAUUAAAGCAAUCAGGGUUAAUAAUGGGUCUGAGUUUUUGUCCAUGAAAGAUUUUUUCCAAACCAAUGGCAUUGAAUACCAAUGUACAUGUGUCUACACUCCACAACAGAAUGGUGUUGUUGAACGUAAACAUCAUCACAUUCUCACCGUGGCACGUAGUUUACGUUUCCAAUCUCAGGUACCCCUUUCAUUUUAGGGCGAAUAUGUCAACCGUUGUCUACCUAAUUAAUCAUUUACCAUCUCCUUUGUUGUCCAACAAAUCUCCUUUUGAGUUAUUAUACCAACGUUCACCAUCAUUUGAUCAUUUAAAAGUUCUUGGCUGUUUGUGUUUUGCCACUGUUGUUCACUCUACACACAAAUUUGACACUCGUGCUAGACGUUGUGUGUUUGUUGGAUACCCCACUGAUAAAAAAGGCUACACCCUAUAUGAUCUAGAAACAAACAAAUUUUUUGUUAGUCGGGAUGUUAAAUUUAACGAAACAAUUUUUCCAUUCCAUUCACCAACCCACCCUUCUAUAACCGACCCUUACAACAGCUCCUUACCACCACUCCCAUCAAUUAGUCGUGACAUCCUAUCACUCAGUCUUGACAUACCAUCCAUCAGUCAUGACCCCAUUUCCCCAACCCAACCCACUAGCCUGCGGUCCCCACCACCUCACCCUAAGCCUAUUACCAUCAUAUCACCCCAUAUUAAUUUCCCUUCCCCCAUUAGACCCCCCACCACAUAUCAUUUCUCAUCUUACACCAUCCAUUGACACGCCAACCCAUUAACCUGACCUCUUCCAUCAACCCGACCCCACGCCCUCCCCCUCCAUUCCCACGUCAAGUCCAAAGCAACCUCCGAUAUGGCAUAAAGACUACCAUGUGACCAACCAAGUUAGUUAAUAUACCCCGGCGCCUCGUCCUUCCUCAGGUACUCGGUAUCCCCUUUCUGAUUUUAUUUCCUAUUCACGCCUUUCUUCUGCCCAUUGUGCUUUUUAGCUAACAUUACAGGUCCUGCCGAACCCACAUCCUAUGCUCAAGCUAUCCUUGAUCCAAAAUGGCGAACUGCCAUGCAUGCAGAAUUAACGGCUUUGCAGCACAACAAUACAUGGACCAUGGUUCCCUUGCCUGCUGGUCACAAACCCAUUGGUUGCAAAUGGGUCUAUAAAAUUAAGUACAACUCUAAUGGCACAAUUGAGCAAUACAAGGCUCGUCUCAUUGCUAUAGGCUACACUCAAAUUGAGGGCAUCGAUUAUCAGGAAACUUUUUCUCCUACUGCUAAACUCACCACUCUUCGUUGCCUUAUUGCCAUUGCUAGUGCCCGUCAUUGGUUUACUCAUCAAUUGGAUAUUCAGAAUGUUUUUCUUCAUGAUGAUCUACAUGAGGUUGUUUUCGUGGAAGCUCUUCCUGGUUUUCACCGAUAGGGGGAGAACAUUGUAUGUCAGCUUAACAAAUCUCUAUAUGGACUUAAACAGGCCUCCAGAAACUGGUUUUCCACUUUUUAAAUCACCAUUCAAAAAGCUGGUUAUCAACAGUCAAAAGCUGAUUAUUCCCUUUUUACAAAGGCCCAAGGUACCUCAUUCACUGCAGUCCUUAUCUAUGUAGACGACUUACUUUUUACAGGAAAUGAUCUUAAAGAGAUGGAACGUCUCAAAACAUUUCUUCUCACAUGCUUCCGCAUCAAAGAUCUUGGUGAUUUAAAAUAUUUUUGGGCAUUGAAUUUUCUCAUUCCAAGAAAGGCAUUUUCAUGUCUCAGUGGAAAUAUGCACUAGAUGUUUUGCAGGAUUCUGGUCUUACAGGGGCACACCCAGACAAGUUUCCAAUGGAACAAAAUUUGAAAAUCACUCCCACCGAUGAAGCAUUGUUAGAUGAUCCCACCAAGUACAUAAGACUAGUCGGACGAAUUGAUUUAUCUUACUGUCACCAGGCUUGACAUAGUCUUUUCAGUUCGCACAUUGAGUCAAUUCAUGUACGAGCCUUGCAAACCUCACUGGGAUGCAGCUUUACGAAUUCUCAAGUACUUCAAAGGUACUUUUGGUUAAGGUUUGUUAUUUCAUGUCUCCGACAAUCUUGAAUUAAAGGCUUUUUUGUGAUUCCGAUUGGGGAGGUUGUCAUGCCACAAGAAGGUCAGUUACUGGGUAUUAUGUCUUUCUUGGAAAUUCCCUCAUCUCAUGGAAAUCCAAGAAGACAAUGUUUCUCGAUCAUCUGCAGAAGUUGAAUAUCGAGCUAUGGCCAACACAGGCCUAGAGUUAACAUGGUUGUGCUAUAUAUUGCAAGAUUUAAAGGUUCCGCAAAAGGGUCCCACACCAUUAUUUUGUGACAAUCAAGCCGCUCUAUAUAUUGCAGCUAAUCCCGUUUUUCAUGAGCGAACAAAACAUAUUGAAAUUGAUUGUCACAUUGUUCGAGAAAAAUUGCAAGCUGGAAUGAUUAGUCCUUCACAUAUACCUACACGUUUCCAGUUAGCAAAUUUAUUCACAAAGGCUUAAGGGAAAGAUCAAUUCGUGAAAUUGCGAAACAAGUUGGGACUUCAUGAUAUUCACUCUCCAACUUGAGGGGAAGUAUUAAGAAAGGAUCGUGUACUGUAUAUGUUUACCUAAAGUAGUUGAUGUGAAAUCCCAUUAAAAGAGGGAUGCAAUUUCCUAGGCAGUAUUGUAGAUUAGUUGACUUAGUUGUGUAUAUAUAUUGUACUCUUACUUGGGCAAUGAGAUAUACGAAAAGCAUUCAGCCUAUCUAUUUCCAUAGCCUUGCAAUAUACUAUUUUAAUAAGGAAAACUAAUGAAAAGAGCUUGAAAUCUUUGAGUUUUAAUGAUAAGGACAAAAUAAAGAGUAAAGUGAAUAGUACCAUGAUUGACUUUUUAGUGUAAAAAUGUGGUUUUUCGUUAAAGUGAACAGUACCGGGUGCUUUUCAUUAAAGUUCCCUAAUAUAAUAUUCUUUCUUUUUAAUAAUAUGUUCUCAAACUUAUUAGUGUGCUUAUGGACUUAUCCCGAUAUUCCAAAGUCGUCUCUAAUUUGAACGGGCUAUGUGGUGCUAUGUUUGAACGGGCUUUUUUUGCUUAUGAACUUAUUAGUGUGCUUAGAGACGACUUUGGAAUUCACUCCCGAUUCCAAAGUCAUCUCUAAUUUGAACGGGCUAUGUGGUGCUAUGUUUUUGGUGCAGUUGGAAAGCAGUAAGAAUGGCAUCUUCCUUUGCCUAAUUACAUGAAGUGGUAAGAGGAUAAUAUGCUUGCUUCUCUAAGUUUGCAUGUCAUGGAAAUGCUGCCUUGUAAGUUGUGUGUUCUGUGAAGAUAACAUAGUACUAUAGGCUGAAUUUUGACUACGAGCCAGUGAUUAGAGUAACCGAUUUGAUGCUGAUUAAGGAUGCUAUUUCUAUAUUUAGGAAAUUUGUUCUCAUUUACCUAGCUGAGAUGGUCUCUUCAGAUUGGUGAUGUCCAUUUUUGUUGCGAGGAGUUGCCAGUCGUUUGUCAUACCAUAUGCUAAUGAGAUUCUGUUUGCCCAUGUAUGUUUCUUUAUCUAACAACAAACACUCCUAAGUUAUAUGUUCUUGGUUCUCUAUAUCGAGUAAUGACUUGAUCUAGAAGAUUUGGUCAUCUGGUAUGAGAGUUUUCUUCUUUCAGCUUGCGCAAACGAAGGGGCUGGUCCUAUCUUUUGACGAUAAGAAUAAUGUACAGUCUUUUUUAGGUUUGGUCUAAUAUGUAGAGUCUUCACUCGGGGUAUUUGUCGACGAGAUAAGAUGAUACAAGGUAAAUUUUAAUUCUUGUUUCAAUUAUGGAGCAGGAUAUCUAUAAUUCACAUUACAAUCUGUAAUGUUGAUGAUUGAAUUAUUAAUUAAGUGUUGAUUAGCAGACUUAUAUAUUGCUUGAGCUAAUACGACGCUACAAUGUUGGAUGCUAAUACGUCGAUCUCACAUUACAAUCUGUAAUUCACAUUCUAUGUAUAAAAGUAUAGUUUCAAGUUUUUGACAAGCAAAAUGUACACUAAAUUGCUCUAUGAAGCUCAGCCAUCAUACAUAAGGUAUUAUCGCCCACACUGGAUUCUAAAUGGGCGAUAAACACUAGAGUGGUAGUAGGGUUGGUUUGGCAUAUAUAUGGUUACACCCCUUACCAAUGAAAUGGGAUCGAAUCGAAUCAUUAAAUUUAUACGUGACCAAUGUUAGCACAACUCACGAUCACAUCAGCAAAAAUUUUUUGGUUUCACAAUUCACACCCGCCAACGUUUGUGAUAACAUUAUAGGUGAGUAGCACAACUCCUUGGUAUGAUGGUGUCAUGUGCAGGUGAAGCUAGCAUAACACCUAGAUUUCACUCCUACCAAUUAUGAUAGCAUCACACGCGACUAUCGCCAGUAGGGGUGGGUUGGAAAAACCGAAAACCGAAAAAAACCGGACCGAAAACCGAACCGAGGUCGAAAAAAAACCGAACCGAAUCUGUUGAACCGAACCGAACCGAAUCUGGUUGGUUCGGUUUCGGUUUCUAAGGUUCGAAAACCGAACCGAACCGAAGUUAAUUUAUUAAUUAAUAAUCCUAAUUCUAAAACGGCACCGUUUUCACCCCGAAAUGUAACCUAAACCUAGGUCCCUAACCCUCAUCUCUUGGUCUCGCCUGUUUUCCCACUUCCCAGUUCGCCCAGUAGCCCACAAACUCCACUUCUCCCCCAAAUUCGCCCACUCCUACUCCAACCUCUUCAGCAUCGUCAUCUCCGCCCGCCCCUCCUCCAUCCGCAUCUGCGUCUUCCACUUCCUCGACGACACCGCCCCCUCUAAAUCCUCUUCUUUUCUGGCUCUAAGCUCGACGCCUUCGGCUCCGACUCUCUGAGAAGCUUCUCGAGUCGUGCUGGAAGGUGCUCAGGUCGUCCGGCUUUUGGUUCAAGGACGAGUGGGCCCCAGCCCUCAAGAUUCCCUGAAAUUCAAUCGAUUGUUGCUUCUGCACUUUUGAUCACAAACCCCAAACCCCAAAUCCCUAAUCCCUAAUCCAAAUCAGAAGCAAAAGCAAUUGGAGGACUCAACCGACGACAAUUCAUAUUCAUCGCCUUCCUCAGCUCCGAGGAAUCCGAGUGCUCUUCGAAAAGGCACCAUCGCAGAAAAGAUGACGAUGGUUCAAGAAGAGAGAAGGAACGGAGAGAGAAACGGAGAAGCAAGAGAGAGACGAAGAGAAUGAAAUCAAAGAAGAAGAGGGCUUAUGGUGUUGAUGACGGCGAUGAGUCCGGUUCUGGAAGGAGUGCUGAUGAUUCAGAUCCAGGCCGGAGUCGGCUCGAUCCGCAACCCGUUUUACGAGAAUUGUUCAUCGAAUUUCCCAAUGUUGGGAAUGAUUUGAAAAAGGUACAUUUACACCACCAAGUAAUUUUGUUUAGAAUCAGAAUUGUUGGAUUAGAAUUCAUGUAUCAAAUGAAACUCUCAAGAUUUGAUUAAUUAGAGACGAAUCCAAUCUUUUCCCGCCAUGAAACUGAUGAUAAUUUCAUUUACUUUUUGUUGUUGUUUAGCUAUGGAAUUAAGUUUGAAUACUAACUAGAAAAUUUCCUACCUUUUCCAGCCAUGACAUUCUGUUGAUUGUCAGUUAUUUUUGGGGUUAAAAUUGAACUGAAAAUUGGUGCAAAUAGCAGGUGAGGAACAAGGUGUUUAUGCCCAGCGACGAACCCAUACUCUCGUUUAAUUUUCUGUUAUACUUAUACAGUUUUAGAGGUUUGGAAUGUUUGCUCUCUGUGGUUGUUUGAAUGUUUGCUUUCUGUGAUUGUUUGGACCAUUGUUGCACUGCUCUCUGCAACAAGGCUCAAUUGAAAGAAAAAUCAAAAUUCCCAAAAAAAAAAAAAAAAAAAAAAAAAGAGGAGAAAAACCAAACCGGGCCGAAACCGAACCGAAAAAAACCGAACCGAAUACAAACCGAACCAAACACAAACCGAUAGAAAAUCGAACCGAACGGAACCGAACCCACGCCUAAUCGCCAGCAUAACUCUUUAAAUUUCGCAGCUGCUAGCUAGCGACUUUGACGGUGCCACAAGCAAGGGACACUAACACAACUCAAUUGUACAUUGAUAUUAACCAACAAACACCGUUAGAGUCCAAAUGCAUUGCAAUGCAUCCCAUUCACCAUUAAUAUUGUCGCACCGCACACCUCCCAUCAAAACCCAACUUCAACCAAACACUGCCCAACCACCAAACCUAGCACCAACAAUAAGUAACCCACCCCCAGCGCAUUUUAGCAACCCCAAGGCCUAAAUGGCGCACCCGAUUGCGGAGGCGAACGAACAAAGCCCCUUCGGCGCGUUGACCCCAGAGGCAUUCUAUUCCCGCCACAACGUCUCUCACGCCUCCGAGUACUUCACAAACCCUAGAGGCCUCAAGCGCUUCACCCAGUGGUGGACCCCGCUCCCUCCGACCGAGAUUGUAGGAACCCUCGCCAUCGUCCACGGCUUCACCGGCGAGACCAGCUGGUUCGUCCAGCUCACCGCCGUCCACUUCGCCAAGUCUGGCUUCGUCGUCUGCGCCAUUGAUCAUCAGGGUCACGGCUUCUCCGAUGGCCUCGCCGCCCACAUCCCCGACAUCAACCCCGUCGUCGACGACUGCAUCUCCUUCUUCGACUCAUUCCGAGCCAAUCACGCGCCGAAGAACCGCCCCUCGUUCCUCUACGCCGAGUCCCUCGGUGGCGCCAUCGCACUCCUCAUGACUUUCCGGCAGGGAAGCGGCGCGUGGGAUGGC